rnacentral:rRNA from 1 species
UACGUAGGGUGCGAGCGUUGUCCGGAAUUAUUGGGCGUAAAGAGCGUGUAGGCGGCUAUACAGGUCCGCUGUGAAAACUCGAGGCUCAACCUCGAGACGCCGGUGGAAACCGUAAAGCUAGAGUCCGGAAGAGGAGAGUGGAAUUCCUGGUGUAGCGGUGAAAUGCGCAGAUAUCAGGAGGAACACCCGUGGCGAAAGCGGCUCUCUGGGCCGUAACUGACGCUGAGGAGCGAAAGCGUGGGGAGCAAACAGG